rnacentral:tRNA from 1 species
CGCAGCGUAGCUCAACCGGAGAGAGUGCCGCCACCGAAGGCGGGGGAUGGAGGUUCGACUCCUUCCGCUGCGG